rnacentral:rRNA from 1 species
CCUACGGGGGGCAGCAGUAGGGAAUCUUCCACAAUGGGCGCAAGCCUGAUGCAGCAACACCGCGUGAGUGAAGAAGGCUUUCGGCUUGUAAAGCUCUGUUGUUGGAGAAGAACGUGCGAGAGGGUAACUGUUCACGCAGUGACGGUACCCAACCAGAAAGUCACGGCUAACUACGUGCCAGCAGCCGCGGUAAUACGUAGGUGGCAAGCGUUAUCCGGAUUUAUUGGGCGUAAAGCGAGCGCAGGCGGUUGCUUAGGUCUGAUGUGAAAGCCUUCGGCUUAACCGAAGAAGUGCAUCGGAAACUGGGCAACUUGAGUGCAGGAGAGGCAGGUGGAACUCCAUGUGUAGCGGUGGAAUGCGUAGAUAUAUGGAAGAACACCAGUGGCGAAGGCGGCUGUCUGGUCUGCAACUGACGCUGAGGCUCGAAAGCAUGGGGAGCGAACAGGAUUAGAUACCCUGGUAGUC